GCUCCCAGCUCCAGCUCCCAUGUGACUCCCGGGGCAUCUGGCAACGGCACAUGCGCUUCUCCAGCCCCAGCCCCAACCCCCAAGCUCACUCUGCUGCCACGGUCCCCACUGGUCACUGUCAACUACCUAGGUUUCCUGAGUCACAUCAGGGCUAUUUGUCAGGCACCGGAAGAAGCCAGCAGAGGAGGAAAGAUGGGCUCUCCACCCGGUCCCCAAGGGCAAGCAGCACUGACAGCAGCACCCUGGGUGAAAUGCUUGGCUGCCAUCAACACCAUUCAUCAAGCAGUGGCCAUAGACUCUGAGCCGCAUCGUGUGCACCGGCCAGGAAAUAAAACCAAUAAAACCACGGCCUUAGCGGAGUUCCCGGGAUCACUCCGAAAGAUUCGGGUCUUGUGGUGUGGUUCCGGCUGGCUUUACAGUCACCACGUGGCCCAGGCUGCCCUGGAAACUGCGGCAAGACCGAGGCUGCAGCCUCCUGGGUGCGGCACUGCAUCUGGUUUAUACCUACAUGUUUUAUGUUCCAGGCUAUACAUGUCUGUUACUUCACGGUGAAAGGAAGUGAGAAAAAUAAAACUUCUAUUUGCAAAAA